rnacentral:rRNA from 1 species
UACGAAGGGGGCUAGCGUUGCUCGGAAUCACUGGGCGUAAAGCGCACGUAGGCGGACUCUUAAGUCGGUGGUGAAAUCCUGGAGCUCAACUCCAGAACUGCCUUCGAUACUGGGAGUCUCGAGUCCGGGAGAGGUGAGUGGAACUGCGAGUGUAGAGGUGAAAUUCGUAGAUGUUCGCAAGAACACCAGUGGCGAAGGCGGCUCACUGGCCCGGUACUGACGCUGAGGUGCGAAAGCGUGGGGAGCAAACAGG